UUCAGAAUUCUUUCUCUCUCUCUUCCUUCAGUUUUCUCUCUCCUCUUGUGAAUCCUGUGCGGCUCUGCUAAUGCGUCUUCAUCUUCUCCAAGUUCCUCAAUUCUCCUGCAUAUCUCUUUACCUUCUUUGCGAUCUUCUUUCAAUUCUCCAGGAGCUGAAUUUGGUACUGUGAAGGUGGUGGAGACUGCACUUGCUUUGCAAGAAGCUGGGUCUUUUGCUUUUGUUUUGGAAUGUGUUCCUGCACCAGUGGCAGCAGCAACAACUUUUGUUUUAGGAAUUCCUACAAUCGGUAUUGGAGCUGGACCUUUCUGUAGUGGUCAGGCAAUUGAUUCAUCUGUCAGAAUUCUGAAAGAGGGAGGAAUGGAUGCGAUAAAAUUGGAGGGAGCAUCACCUUCGAGAAUUACAGCAGCGAAAGCUAUUGUUGAAGCUAGAAUUGCAGUGACUCCACAAGCCAUUAGUAUUCUUGGAGGGUUUAGUAGGCCUCAGGGGAGAAACAUCUCCACUGCUGUUAAGGUGAAGUACUGGUUUUGUAUCUGUGGAAUUUCAUGGGUAUGUUCUGCCUUGCUCUGGACACGUUUGGGAUCAACAACUAAAGCUUCACGACAGCUAUAGACAUGACUAACUUAACACGCAGUAACCAAAAAAAUAUAACAGCAUAGCCAAAAUGCAGAAAAGCUAUGACAAAAUUCAGUGGUACAGUAGUAGACAUGCAAACCUGCAAACAGAUAUCCUGUGCCAAAGGACUGCCCUCUUCAACUUCAGGGAUCCCAGCUUUCUUCUCCUUCAAACUUUUUCUGUCAUUGCUAGCUCCAUUACCUAAUCCAACUACCUAUGCUUCCAUAUUGUUUGUUGGUGAAUCUGCAAACCUGUCCUCCGAAGAAGCUUGUGAUUUUUCUCGAUAGUUUCCAUUGACAUACUCCCCAUUAUGGUUCACAUAUUCUUGAGCAGGUCUGACUUCAAUUCUAUUCACUCUGCUGUCCUUCAUGCUGAGAAAAUGGGAUUGUCCGGUGUUUUUCCAGCAGUCUCCAUUGACUUGGUUAUCCCUGAAUCCCUGAUGCAUCUUCCAGAAUUAGCAGCAGGGGAUGGCUGAGUUUGCUUCCCUUUUGAGUCACCUAGAUGCCUCUCGUAUAAAAAAUGAGCAAAUUUUUGAAUGUUAAUGAGAUUUUAAAAUAUUUGCUCAUUUAGACACAAUGAGCAAAAGUUUUGAAUAUUAACAAACCCGAACUUUAAAAUUUUAAAAAUGAGGAAAUUAUUUGCUCAUCUGUGUAAACUAUAAAAAAAUGAGCAAAAUUAUUUGCUUAUUUGUGUAAACAAUAAAAAAUGAGCAAUUUUUUUGAAUGUUAAGUUUAUGAGAUUUUAAAAUAUUUGCUCAUUUGGAAACAAUGAGCAAAAGUUUUGAGUAUUAACAAACCCGAACUUUAAAAUUUUAUAAAUGAGCAAAAAUAUUUUCUCAUUUGUGUAAACUAUAAAAAAUGAGCAAAAAUAUUUGAUCAUUUGUGUAAAUUAAUAAAAAAUGAGCAAAUUUUUUGAAUUUUAAGUAAUCUGAGAUUUUAAAAUAUUUGCUCAUUUAGACAUAAUGAGCAAAAGUUUUGAAUAUUAACAAACACGAACCUUAAAAUUUUAAAAAUGAGCAAAAAUAUUUGCUCAUUUUUAAUAUUAACCCAAAAGUAAAGAUUAGCCUACGUGGGAUUCGAACCCACAUCUUUUGUGCAUUUGCACAAUGCUCUACCUAUUGAGCUAGUAGGCUGGUGUUUUUAGAUAGAAUCAACAAAAGUAAAGCAAAAACCAAAAGAAAAAGUAUGAGCCCGUUGCAAGGCAGUAUGAUGUUUCAACAUGACGGUUGAGACCUUCCCCCUUUCCCCAAGGUGGCUGAGUUAGUUGUUCCCAAAGCAGCCAUGUGCUCUGAGAAGUAUAACCAAACUGUGAAAGUUGGUGCUGAGAGGGGUUUCAGAGUUACCAAUUACAUGACCCUCGUGCCUGUUAAGGUCUUUGAAGAUCAAGGCGGUCAGACACAUACUAUUGCUGCUGAGGUAAAUGGUGCUGAUGUGCCUGUUGCUGCUGCAUACUGAGCUCGUAUCAAUAUGUCUAAACUCUCAAACGAAAAUAUAAAAAAUAAAGAUUAAUGAACAAGCUCCAAUUCCCUGAAAGAUCUAACAAGGAUAAUUCGCUUAGGAGCAAUGCUACCAUUCAGUUUGUUAUUUGAAAGAUUCACUCUUGUCAGAUUAGACAGGCUUUUCAGUUCAUCAGGGAUUUACCUCCAAGGGAGUUGUUGUACAGCAUAAACUGUUGCAGAGACUUCAGAUUGCCCAAUGUCGCCGGAAUUCCACCCGAAAGGUGAUUAUGAGCCAAGUCAAGAAUCAACAGUUGUUGACGUUCCCCAAAGUGAGUGGUUCCUCCACUAAGAACAAUGUGGUUCCUCCACUAAAGAACAAUGUUUCCAUACAGAUCUUUCUUGAUAUCAAUAUCACACUUCGUGAUAGAGUUGUAAGUGGUUUCGUGAAUACCAGCAGCUUCCAUACCAAUCAUUAAUGGCUGGAAGAGGACUUCAGGACAUCGGAAACGCUCACCACAAAUGCUAAUAAUUAACCUAACACAGAAACUACUUAGAUCUUGGUCUGCUGCAAGCUAAUAAAACUUAACCAGUUUCAAACUUGGUUAGUUUCUAUGUAUUCACCCUUGAGUUUACAAAAUUGAUUCUCGUAUUCAAGGGAGUUGCUGCUACAGACACCAUUCUCUUAUGCCGUUGAAAGAAAAUAACUGGAUCAUGCAACCAUGUUCCAACUUCAAAGUGAUCAAGAGUUUAAGUAGUCACGUUGUCUGUCACACCGAAUUAGGAGCCUGUAACAAAGGUGCCAAUACAUCCGAAUCCAUUUGAGAACUAGGGGCAGCAUGGAGAUCAACAUGCACUUUAUGAACCAUCUCUGCUAGCAUUGUGUUCCAUUCCUUAAGAAUUAAUAAUCACCAAUUGUCUUUCUUUGCUCAUUUCCAAUCAUCUUCAUCAACACAUUAUUGAUU